GCCGGGUGUGGUGUUGGGUGCCUGUAAUCCCAGCUACUCGGGAGGCUGAGGCAGGAGAAUUGCUUGAACCUGGGAGGCAGAGGUUGCAGUGAGGCAAGAUUGUGCCACUGUACUCCAGCCUGGAGACAGAGCGAGACUCUGUCUCAAAAAAAAAAAAAAAAAAAUGCAUCUUGUUUGUUUGUUUUGAGACGGAGUCUCACUCUGUCACCUAGGCUGGAGAGUGGUGGUGCCAUCACGGCUAACUGCAACCUCUGCCUCCCAGGUUCAAGUAAUUCUCCUGCCCCAG
rnacentral:SRP_RNA from 1 species